rnacentral:tRNA from 1 species
UCCCUUAUAGCUCAGAUGGUAAAGAGUCUGCCUGCAAUGCAGGAGACCCAGGUUUGAUCCCUGGGUUGGGAA